CGAACGGGUGAGUAACACGUGAGUAACUGCCCUUGACUUUGGGAUAACUUCAGGAAACUGGGGCUAAUACCGGAUAGGAGCUCUGCUGCAUGGUGGGGGUUGGAAAGUUUCGGCGGUUGGGGAUGGACUCGCGGCUUAUCAGCUUGUUGGUGGGGUAGUGGCUUACCAAGGCUUUGACGGGUAGCCGGCCUGAGAGGGUGACCGGCCACAUUGGGACUGAGAUACGGCCCAGACUCCUACGGGAGGCAGCAGUGGGGAAUAUUGCACAAUGGGCGGAAGCCUGAUGCAGCAACGCCGCGUGCGGGAUGACGGCCUUCGGGUUGUAAACCGCUUUCGCCUGUGACGAAGCGUGAGUGACGGUAAUGGGUAAAGAAGCACCGGCUAACUACGUGCCAGCAGCCGCGGUGAUACGUAGGGUGCGAGCGUUGUCCGGAUUUAUUGGGCGUAAAGGGCUCGUAGGUGGUUGAUCGCGUCGGAAGUGUAAUCUUGGGGCUUAACCCUGAGCGUGCUUUCGAUACGGGUUGACUUGAGGAAGGUAGGGGAGAAUGGAAUUCCUGGUGGAGCGGUGGAAUGCGCAGAUAUCAGGAGGAACACCAGUGGCGAAGGCGGUUCUCUGGGCCUUUCCUGACGCUGAGGAGCGAAAGCGUGGGGAGCGAACAGGCUUAGAUACCCUGGUAGUCCACGCUGUAAACGGUGGGUACUAGGUGUGGGGUCCAUUCCACGGGUUCCGUGCCGUAGCUAACGCUUUAAGUACCCCGCCUGGGGAGUACGGCCGCAAGGCUAAAACUCAAAGGAAUUGACGGGGCCCCGCACAAGCGGCGGAGCAUGCGGAUUAAUUCGAUGCAACGCGUAGAACCUUACCUGGGUUUGACAUGGAUCGGGAGUGCUCAGAGAUGGGUGUGCCUCUUUUGGGGUCGGUUCACAGGUGGUGCAUGGCUGUCGUCAGCUCGUGUCGUGAGAUGUUGGGUUAAGUCCCGCAACGAGCGCAACCCUUGUUCACUGUUGCCAGCACGUUAUGGUGGGGACUCAGUGGAGACCGCCGGGGUCAACUCGGAGGAAGGUGGGGAUGACGUCAAGUCAUCAUGCCCCUUAUGUCCAGGGCUUCACGCAUGCUACAAUGGCUGGUACAGAGAGUGGCGAGCCUGUGAGGGUGAGCGAAUCUCGGAAAGCCGGUCUCAGUUCGGAUUGGGGUCUGCAAC
rnacentral:rRNA from 1 species